GGGGACAUCCCUGUCUGGAAAUAUAGAGUAGAUGCACUUUUCCUGUCCCUCCUGCAAUGUACAAAUAAGAACCCUGGACAUUGUAUAUAAAACAAAUACACUACAAGAAGACUAAGUAGAGAUAAGUAGAGACAAGUAGACAAACUGGCUAGAAACCUUGACCUGAAGAAAUACGUGGUCGUGAAUUCCCUGGGUGUUCUUUUGUCUUCAUAUACCCAGUUUGGGACCUGCAGAAGCAAAAGUCAAAAACAAAAACCCAAGCAACAUCUGCUCUCUCUCUCUCUGGGAGCAGCCUAGUUACACAGAAAACUUUUUAAGAUCAUAACGGUUAUUCUGAAGUCAAAUACCACAGAAUACUGUAUGACUACCUCCAUUGCUUCCAGCAAAGACCAGCUAAGGAAUCUAUACCAUCCUUGCCUGACUGAAAUGAAUGAAGUACCUUAACCACUUUUUCCAGCUGGGGUAGUAUCAGUGGAAGCACUACUGAGGUUCUGAGGAACCUGAACUCCCACAUCUAUGUAGCAGUAAGGAGAAACCCUUCUGCUUUGAGGUGUCAGUGAAGGCCAAGAUCCUUGAUUUUCCCAGGAUGUGACAAUAAUGCCAUUUUCCUUCACCUAUCAGAGAGGUGUCAGAGGAGGCUCUCUAAAACACAAGAUUUAAUGAGAUCAAGGAUCUCAUAAUAGAGUACCUUAAAUGCCCAGAAUAUAAAAAAAUCUUCUGUUACACCAAGUCAUUAAAUGUUAAACAUCGAUCUUAAAAUUUCUUUGAUAAGUAAUUGUCAAUAUGCUUGAACCAAAUGAAGAAAUAGAAAUUCUUAACAAAAUAUAGACAAUAGAAAAAAGAAUAAAAUGAUAAUUUGAAAUUGAAGAAUUACUGAAAUUAGAAACUCAGUGGAUAAAGCCAGCAACAGAAUGGAGAGGACAGAAAAGAGAAUCCAUGAAUUUAAAGACAGAACAAUAAAACACACGAAUUUGAACAUAAGAGAGAAAAAAUAGAUGAAAAAAUGAACAGAGCCUAAGGGACUUUUGUGAUUAUGACAAAAUGUCUAAUAUUUGUGUCAUUAGAAUGGAGAAAAAAAGGAGAUAAAAGGUGGGGCUGAGAAGUGGAAUAUAUACUAGUAAAACCUGAAUAUUGCCCUGGCAUUUGAAUAUUUGAGUUUCUGGCUGAUCAAUGUGACUUAAUCCCUUCCUCUCUCCCUCCCUCCCUCCCUCCCUCCCUUCUCUCCUCUGAGCAGAACAUUUCAAGGUUCAGCCACAUUGUGGAGCCUGUUCUUAAAAUUUCUGCAUUUAGAGGUGAGACUUUGCUGUAUUAGGGUUCUCCAGAGAAAGAGAAGCAAUAGGAUUUGUAUAUGUAUAGAAAGGUAUUUAUUUUAAGGAAUUGACUCACAUAGUUGUGGAGGUUUGCCAAAUUCAAAAUCUGUUGGAGGAGGCCAGAAGUUUGGAGAUGUAGGAAAGAGUUGCAGUUCUAGUGCAAACGCAAUCUGCAGUAGAACUAGUGUCUUAGCACAUUUGGGCUUCUAUAUAACAAAAGUACUAUAACUGGGAACCAUAUAAACCACGGAAAUUUGUUUCUCCCAGUUUUGGAGACUGGGAAGACCAAGAUUGAGGUACAGGCAGAUUCAGUAUGCUGUGGUACUGGCAAAUCAGGAGGGCCUGAUUUGUAGUUCAUAGAGUGUAACUUUUUGCUGUAACCUUACGUGGCAGACGGGGGCAAAUGAGCUCUCUGGGACUUCUUUUAUAAGAGCACAAAUCCCAUUCAUGAAGGCUUUGCCCUCAUGACCUAAGCACCCCUCAGAGGUCUUACCUCCUGACACCAUUACACCUGGAUAUUAGGUUUCAAAAUAUGAAUUUUGGAGGGACAAAAACAUUAAAUCUAUAGCAGUCAGGAAGAGGCGAUAUUGAAAAUAAAGUUCAAAUGCAGUCUGUUGGAAAAUUCUCUUUUCCUGGGUUGGGGAGGUAAAUGUUUUGGUCUGUCCAGGCCUUCCAUUGAUUGGACGAGGCCUACCCACAAUGUGGAGGGCAGUCUGCUUUUCUCAGAGUCUACUGAUUUAAAUGUAAAUCUUAUCCAAAAACACCUUCACAAAAA